AUUGAACGCUGGCGGCAGGCCUAACACAUGCAAGUCGAGCGGAUGAAGGGAGCUUGCUCCUGGAUUCAGCGGCGGACGGGUGAGUAAUGCCUAGGAAUCUGCCUGGUCGUGGGGGAUAACGUCCGGAAACGGGCGCUAAUACCGCAUACGUCCUGAGGGAGAAAGUGGGGGAUCUUCGGACCUCACGCUAUCAGAUGAGCCUAGGUCGGAUUAGCUAGUUGGUGGGGUAAAGGCCUACCAAGGCGACGAUCCGUAACUGGUCUGAGAGGAUGAUCAGUCACACUGGAACUGAGACACGGUCCAGACUCCUACGGGAGGCAGCAGUGGGGAAUAUUGGACAAUGGGCGAAAGCCUGAUCCAGCCAUGCCGCGUGUGUGAAGAAGGUCUUCGGAUUGUAAAGCACUUUAAGUUGGGAGGAAGGGCAGUAAGUUAAUACCUUGCUGUUUUGACGUUACCAACAGGAUAAGCACCGGCUAACUUCGUG
rnacentral:rRNA from 1 species